rnacentral:rRNA from 1 species
GGCGCCCCCUGUACAAAGACUGCCGUUCCAUUUGCAAAAGCGUGGGGGAGCAACACAGACUUAGAUACCCUGCUAGUCCACCCCGUAAACGAUGUCGAUUUGAAGUUUGUCCCUUUGAGGCUUGGCUCCCGAAGUUAACGCGUUAAUUAGACCCCCUGGGGAGUACGCCCGCAAGGUUAAAAUUCAAAUGAUUGGACGGGGGCCCGCCCAAGCGGGGGAGCAUGUGGUUUAUUUGGAUGCAACGGGAAGAACCUUACUUACUCUUGACAUUCAGAGAACUUUCCAGAGAUCGAUUGGUGCCUUCGGGAACUGUGAGCCAGGUACACCAUGGCUUUCUUCAGCUCGUGUUGUGAAAUGUUGGGUUAAUUCCCGCAACGAGCGCAACCCUUAUCCUUUGUUGCCACCGGUUAGGCCGGGAACUCAAAGGAGACUGCCAGUGAUAAACCGGAGGAAGGUGGGGAUGACGUCAAGUCAUCAUGGCCCUUACGAGUAGGGCUACACACGUGCUACAAUGGCAUAUACAAAGGGAAGCGACCUCGCGAGAGCAAGCGGACCUCAUAAAGUAUGUCGUAGUCCGGAUUGGAGUCUGCAACUCGACUCCAUGAAGUCGGAAUCGCUAGUAAUCGUAGAUCAGAAUGUUACGGUGAAUACGUUCCCGGGCCUUGUACACACCGCCCGUCACACCAUGGGAGUGGGUUGCGAACAAGAAGUAGGUAGCUUAAC